rnacentral:rRNA from 1 species
CCUAGGGCGGCAGCAGUGAGGAAUAUUGGUCAAUGGGAGAGAUCCUGAACCAGCCAAGCCGCGUGAGGGAAGGCGGCCCUAUGGGUUGUAAACCUCUUUUGUCGGAGAACAAAACCCGGGACGUGUCCCGGACUGCGUGUAUCCGAAGAAAAAGCAUCGGCUAACUACGUGCCAGCAGCCGCGGUAAUACGUAGGGGGCAAGCGUUAUCCGGAUUUACUGGGUGUGAAGGGAGCGUAGACGGUGCGCCAAGUCUGGAGUGAAAUGCCGCAGCUUAACUGCGGAACUGCUUUGGAAACUGGCGAACUAGAGUGCGGGAGGGGUAAGCGGAAUUCCUAGUGUAGCGGUGAAAUGCGUAGAUAUUAGGAGGAACACCGGUGGCGAAGGCGGCUUACUGGACCGUAACUGACGUUGAGGCUCGAAAGCGUGGGGAGCAAACAGGAUUAGAUACCCGAGUAGUC